AUGGCGAAUGUAAGCAUUUUGCUGCAAAAGGUAAAAAUAUAACAAAUAUUUUCUCGUAUUCUUUCCAAGUAAAAUAUCAAAGGGGUAGAGAAAGCGAGGAUAUCUAUGAAGCAAUAAUAGAACAAUCACAACUCUACCAGUGCUAUCACUUAAGAGAGUGCAAGUGACAGAAAGGACAGCUAAACUACAAGGAAAGAUUUUUCAAAAUAAGCUUGUCCAAGCCCAAUAAUAUUAUUUAUAAGACGCUAAAAGCAUCUCUUCAUUGGAAGAAAAGCAUUUAUGAACAAGGUAUUGGAAAACUGCAGAUACAAACAUCAUGAAAAUUUAAGACACUGAAAUUGGUUCGGGUUUGGACAAUAAGGGUCUGUGAAUUUAGAUUUAUAGCUGCAUUGCCUCAUAUGAAAUUAUUAAAUUUUAAAGAAA
rnacentral:misc_RNA from 1 species